UAGGGAAUCUUCCACAAUGGGCGCAAGCCUGAUGGAGCAACACCGCGUGAGUGAAGAAGGGUUUCGGCUCGUAAAACUCUGUUGUUAAAGAAGAACAUAUCUGAGAGUAACUGUUCAGGUAUUGACGGUAUUUAACCAGAAAGCCACGGCUAACUACGUGCCAGCAG
rnacentral:rRNA from 1 species